ensembl:snRNA U1 U1 spliceosomal RNA
ACACUUACCUGGCAGGGGAAUUACCAUGGUUAUGAAGAUGAUUUUCCCAGGGUCAGGCUUCUCUAUUGCAUUCAAGAUGUGCUAGCCCCUGUAAUUUCUUCAAAUGUGGGACAUUUGACUGUAUAACCUACAGAAGAGGGGCAUUUUCUCUCCAC